rnacentral:lncRNA from 1 species
ACUAUGCCGUACAUUGCAAUCAUAAAGGAAAGUUUUCACAUAUUUCCUUUCAAAGAUCAUUUUUUGCUAUUUAUUAUUUUUAAUUCAACGUGGGACAACACUUCAGUUUCUGAACUAAAAAUUGCUGUUUCAAGUACCUAAAAUCAUAUCGAUGUCCAAGCAUGUAAUUUAAAAGACUGUGGAUGCUUAUGUCAUGCAUGUUGGCUCACGAUAAUUAAAAACUCUUGUAAGAAGUCAGGGAUUAUGACAGUUGUUGUCCAUUCGUUUGAUGUGCUUUAUCAUUUGAUGUUGCCAUUUGAUUAGGGACUUUCCGUUUUGAUAUUUUCCUCGGAGUUCAGUAUUUUUGUGAUUUUACUUUUCUCAUACCUAUUACGGAUUUCAACUAUUUUUAAAAGAGAACGCCAAAGGAAA